rnacentral:rRNA from 1 species
CAGCCGCCGCGGUAAUACGUAGGGGGCGAGCGUUACCCGGAUUCACUGGGCGUAAAGGGGGUGUAGGCGGCUCGGUAAGUCGGGUGUGAAAUCCCACGGCUCAACCGUGGAAUUGCGCCCGAAACUGCCGAGCUUGGGGCCGGUAGAGGGAGACAGAACUGCCGGUGUAGGGGUGAAAUCCGUAGAUAUCGGCAGGAACGCCGGUGGGGAAGCCGGUCUCCUGGGCCGCGCCCGACGCUGAGGCCCGAAAGCUAGGGGAGCAAACCGGAUUAGAUACCCGGGUAGUCCUAGCCGUAAACGAUGCCCACUAGGUGUGGGGGAGUAUUUCCUCCGUGCUGUAGCUAACGCGUUAAGUGGGCCGCCUGGGGAGUACGCCCGCAAGGGUGAAACUUAAAGGAAUUGGCGGG